AAGGUCUUGGUCUUGAACCUCAUAUUACCUAAAAUCAUUUGUUUAUACAUGCAAGCCUCACCACACCGGUGAAACAGCCAUAGAAAUCCAGAGCCGGCAUCAGUUUAUUUACCAUAACGCCAAGCAAUAGCCACACCCCCACGGGCAACACAGCAGUAGUUAACAUUAGGCCAUAAGUGAAAACUUGACCAAGCGAAAUGAACACAAGGGCCGGUUAAUCUCGUGCCAGCGACCGCGGUUACACGAUAGGCCCAAGACAAUAUUAACGGCGUAAAAAUGACUAAAACAACAGUUAUAACUUUAGGGUAAAAACCAAACUAGGCUGUAAAAAGCCAUAAGUCACAUUAAUUUUUUCCCCCUAACACCAUACAACUUUGACUCAUGAAAGCUAGGACACAAACUAAGAUUAGAUACCCUACUAUGCCUAGCCGUAAUACACAAUUAAAUUACCAAUUGUCCGCCAAACAACUACGAGUCAUACUUAAAACUUAAAAGACUUGACGGUACUUCACCACAACCUAGAGGAGCCUGUCUAAUAACCGACAAUCCACGAUUAACCCCACCCUUUCUCGCCCAACAGUCUAUAUACCGCCGUCGCCAGCUUACCUUGUAAAAGAAAUAAAGUGAGCCAAAGAGUACUACACUAAAACGACAGGUCGAGGUGUAACCAAUGAAAGGGACCAAGAUGGGCUACAUUCUCCCAGCCGAGAAUACGAAUAGCACUAUGAAACUAGUGCCUGAAGGCGGAUUUAGCAGUAAGAUAAGAAUAAAACACCUAACUGAACACAACGCAAUGAAGUGCGCACACACCGCCCGUCAUCCCUGCCACCACAACACUUAUAUCAAUAAACCAACUAAAAAAAUCAAACAGGGCAAGUCGUAACAUGGUAAGUGUACUGGAAAGUGUACUUAGAAA
rnacentral:ncRNA from 1 species